rnacentral:tRNA from 1 species
GCGAUAGUGGCUCAGUUGGUAGAGCAUUGGCAUCCCAAGCCGAGGGUCGCGGGUUCGAGUCCCGUCUAUCGCU